rfam:Nasonia vitripennis chromosome 5 unlocalized genomic scaffold Chr5_random049, whole genome shotgun sequence.
AUUUAUGCUUUUGGAACUUCGAUAGCCACAUAUGUUUUUACCAGUUUGAUAUCUAAUUUGCUCCUUAUUGAGGAGUCAGUAUAUCGAACUGAUUUUUGGAAAAUGGUGAAGUGUCUGGGGCUUGCUCCGACUUCACCGCGGGUCACCUUGCAUUGCAGUAUCGCAAGGACCGACCCGCAUAAU